rnacentral:lncRNA from 1 species
CCGCCACCUCCCAUCAGACAGGAAGCCAGGCUGCCAGCCAAGUGUAGCCAUCAACGAUAGUGACUCCUUCACCAGCCCAGCAAGCACUGAUCACGACGGAUCAGUUUAGCAGGUUCAAAAUUUGAAGACCGUUACUCAAGCGGUCUAGACUGUUCUGACGCCUCCACCGAUGAUGCCACAGCCUACUCAGACUGCUCCUGUAC